rnacentral:rRNA from 1 species
GAUGAACGCUGGCGGCGUGCCUAAUACAUGCAGGUCGAGCGAACGGACGAGAAGCUUGCUUCUCUCAUGUUAGCGGCGGACGGGUGAGUAACACGUGGAUAACCUACCUAUAAGACUGGGAUCACUUCGGGAAACCGGAGCUAAUACCGGAUGAUCUUUUGAACCACAUGGUUCAAAAGUGAAAGACGGUCUUGCUGUCACUUAUAGAUGGAUCCGCGCUGCAUUAGAUAGUUGGUAAGGUAACGGCUUACCAAGGCAACGAUGCAUAGCCGACCGGAGAGGGGGAUAGGCCACACGAGAACUGGGACACGGACCAGAGUACUACGGGAGGCAGCAGUAGGGAAUCGUCCGCAACGGGCGAAAGUAUGACGGAGCAACGCCGCGUGAGUGAUGAAGGUCUUCGGAUCGUAAAACUCUGUUACGAGGGAAGAACAUAUGUGUAAGUAACUGUGCACAGCUUGACGGUACUUAAUCAGAAAGCCACGGCUAACUACGUG